UAGUUAAUAUUCAUCAUCUUCCCCAGUGCCCACACCUACGCCUCUCUCUCUCGUGCGAUUACCCUACCCCAGCUCUCUCGUGCGAUUACCCCAACCAGACCCAAAAUUUUUUCCCCAUCUGAAGCCGGCGCGAGGUCCUCCCUCUCAGGCGGAGGCCGGUGCUUCUCCUUAGGCGCAGUAGACGGCUGGUGCUUUUCGCGAGCUGUAACUUCGGGUAUUUCCAUCAAAACCCCUUUUGCACCAAGCACUUUAGAAAGUGCCGUUCCUCACCAAAAAACCCCAAACACCAAACACUGCCUCCACUACCGUCGGACCCUUUCUCAGUUUUUUUCCACAACUGACGUCUCUCUACUGUCCUCCUCCUCUCACAACAACCAUCGACAGCUGAACCAGGGUUCUAAUAUUUUUUGGGAGGGGUUUGCUCUGCAAUUUCAAACAUUUUUCAACUCAAAUUUACACUCGAGAGAGGGUAAACCGAGUUGGGCUCAGCUGCAAUUUUCCCCAGAAUCGAGAUGGCGAAGACGAUUGUUGAUGGCGUCUUGGGCCUUAACCUUGAUGAUUCAGCAAGCAAUUUAGUUGUUGCUUGUCUACUUUAUGGCUUGACAAUUGAUGUACCAUCAUACAAUAUCAAAGGAUAGGGUGAAACUUUCUCCUCUUUUGGAUAGUUAGAAGCUAGCAGAAAUCUUUACUAUUGGAACCAUACUUGGUGGUUACUUGGCAAUGAUGGCAGUUAUUUUCUUUUGGACAACAUACAAGACAGACUUCUUUGCUUGCGAUAAGGAAAGAAAUUCCACCGAAGCUAAAAGUUCGACGCCCAACUGUACGUAUUCUUUAUUUUAAAUUUCAAUUAUAUUUUAUUAAGAUCUUUAUUAAUUUAAAGAAAAAUCUUUACUGUCCACAUCAACUGGAGGACACCGAAUGUGGAUAUUAUGUAAUGAAGAUGAUGAAAGAUUUAAUUCAAGCUUCGAAUCGGAAACACUUUUUGGCCGAGUUAAGUGAUGCAAAGUACACAGAAGAAGAAAUUGAUGAAGUGAAAGAGCAUUGAGCAAGUGAGAUGUUAUCAGUUAUUCAAACUUACCGACGUUAGUUGUUUUUUGUUUUAAUAGGGCAAGUGAGAUGUUAUCGGUUAUUCAAACUUACCGAUGUUAGUUAUUUUUUGUUUUAAUAGACCAAUAGUUAUUAUAUAAUUUUAUAGUUAUGGAUUUAUUAGUAUAAUGAACUAAUAUGUAAUAUUUAUUAAUUUUGUUGAUGUGAAUUAUUAUAAUGGUCUAAUUUAUA